rnacentral:rRNA from 1 species
CACUCCUACGGGAGGCAGCAGUGGGGAAUAUUGCACAAUGGGCGCAAGCCUGAUGCAGCCAUGCCGCGUGUAUGAAGAAGGCCUUCGGGUUGUAAAGUACUUUCAGCGGGGAGGAAGGCAAUACGGUUAAUAACCGUGUUGAUUGACGUUACCCGCAGAAGAAGCACCGGCUAACUCCGUGCCAGCAGCCGCGGUAAUACGGAGGGUGCAAGCGUUAAUCGGAAUUACUGGGCGUAAAGCGCACGCAGGCGGUCUGUCAAGUCGGAUGUGAAAUCCCCGGGCUCAACCUGGGAACUGCAUUCGAAACUGGCAGGCUUGAGUCUUGUAGAGGGGGGUAGAAUUCCAGGUGUAGCGGUGAAAUGCGUAGAGAUCUGGAGGAAUACCGGUGGCGAAGGCGGCCCCCUGGACAAAGACUGACGCUCAGGUGCGAAAGCGUGGGGAGCAAACAGGAUUAGAAACCCAGUAGUCCCAUG